AAUCUGGUUUUAUUUAAAACCACAAUUUAACCAAAAUAUUAGGCGU
rfam:Zootermopsis nevadensis contig16138, whole genome shotgun sequence.